CACUGGGUGAAACUGCAAGUCGAGAGCGUGGGAAACCAGCAAGUUGAGAGAGGAUCCAGAAGUAACCCCUUCUAAAACGGGAAAGAUGCCUUCCGAAAGGAUGUGACUUGCUCCUCCUUGUUUUCCAACAUGAUUGUGAGGCCUCCCCAGCCACGUGGAACUGUUUGAGUACUUGUGAGUUUCUGACAUAAUAGAAUGAAAGAAGAUCAGAGCAGGAAGAUAUUUUAGAGAUUGGAGCCCUGGCCCAGAAAUUGGUUGUUAUGAUUUGAGAAGAGUCAAAGACCCUGCACUUGAUGGAUCAACUGGCAUCACCUAGACCAGUAAACUGGCUCGUCUGGUCUGUGGCCCCACACCCAGGAACUCACUUAGCUGAAGAGGACAGCUUUGACUUCCUAUGAUUUCAUCCACAACCUGACCAAUCAGCACUCCCUACUCCAUAGCCCCCUGCCCACCAAACUACCUUCAAAAAAGCCUAGCCUCUGAAGUUUUGAGGAGGCUGAUUUGAGUAAUAAUAAAACUCAGGUUUCCUGUUUAGCCAGCUCUAGUAUAUUAAACUCUUUCUGUAUUGCAGUUCUCCUGUCUGAAUGUCAGCUCUAGCUGGGCAGUGGGCAAGAAGAACCCAUUGGGCAAUUACAAAGAGGGAAGUAAGACAUGACUGCUGUCACAUUUCAAUGCCUUUCUGGGCCUGAUAAUUUAAAGGGGCUCACAUUUCUCAAAGCCAACUUAUCCCAAUCUUGCCAACCACAAGUUUUGUAGCAGUUACGGAAAACAAAAACUACAACCUGGGACAAGACCAAAGUCACAUACCCCUCUGUUCUCAUUGCUGUAUAACAACUCCAUUCCUACUUUGGUUCAGGGAGUUACCUAAUUUUGAGGUGCUCCCUGAUGAACAUUGACUGAAUAAAGCCUUUGACCUC
rnacentral:lncRNA from 1 species